rnacentral:rRNA from 1 species
AACGAACGCUGGCGGCAGGCUUAACACAUGCAAGUCGAGCGCCCCGCAAGGGGAGCGGCAGACGGGUGAGUAACGCGUGGGAAUCUACCCAUCUCUACGGAAUAACGCAUGGAAACGUGUGCUAAUACCGUAUACGUCCUUCGGGAGAAAGAUUUAUCGGAGAUGGAUGAGCCCGCGUUGGAUUAGCUAGUUGGUGGGGUAAAGGCCUACCAAGGCGACGAUCCGUAGCUGGUCUGAGAGGAUGAUCAGCCACACUGGGACUGAGACACGGCCCAGACUCCUACGGGAGGCAGCAGUGGGGAAUAUUGGACAAUGGGCGCAAGCCUGAUCCAGCCAUGCCGCGUGAGUGAUGAAGGCCCUAGGGUUGUAAAGCUCUUUCACCGGUGAAGAUAGUGACGGUAACCGGAGAAGAAGCCCCGGCUAACUUCGUGCCAGCAGCCGCCGUAAAAC